AUUGAACGCUGGCGGCAGGCCUAACACAUGCAAGUAGAGCGAGCGGCGGACGGGUGAGUAAUGUCUGGGAAACUGCCUGAUGGAGGGGGAUAACUACUGGAAACGGUAGCUAAUACCGCAUACCAUCAGAUGUGCCCAGAUGGGAUUAGCUAGUAGGUGGGGUAACGGCGCACCUAGGCGACAAUCCCUAGCUGGUUUGGGAGGAUGACCAGCCACACUGGAACUGGGACACGCUCCAGCUUCCUACGGGGGGCAGCAGUGGGGAAUAUUGCAAAAUGGGCGCAAGCCUGCCGCAGCCAUGCCGCGUGAGUGAAGAAGGCCUCCGGGUUGUAAAGCACUUUCAGCGGGGAGGCGGUACCCAAAGAAGAAGCACCGGCUAACUCCGUGCCAGCAGCCGCGGUAAUAC
rnacentral:rRNA from 1 species